rnacentral:rRNA from 1 species
AGAGUUUGAUCCUGGCUCAGGAUGAACGCUAGCGGCAGGCUUAAUACAUGCAAGUCGAGGGGCAGCAGGUCUGUAGCAAUACAGAUGCUGGCGACCGGCAAACGGGUGCGGAACACGUACGCAACUUUCCUUCAACUGAGGAAUAGCCCAGGGAAACUUGGAUUAAUACCUCGUAAUAUUAUGAAGUGGCAUCACUUUAUAAUUAUAGCUCCGGCGGUUGAAGAUGGGCGUGCGCCUGAUUAGGUAGUUGGCGGGGUAACGGCCCACCAAGCCUACGAUCAGUAACUGGUGUGAGAGCACGACCAGUCACACGGGCACUGAGACACGGGCCCGACUCCUACGGGAGGCAGCAGUAAGGAAUAUUGGGCAAUGGACGCAAGUCUGACCCAGCCAUGCCGCGUGGAGGAUGAAGGUCCUCUGGAUUGUAAACUUCUUUUAUCUGGGAAGAAAUCCAUAUUUUCUAAUGUGGUUGACGGUACCAGAUGAAUAAGCACCGGCUAACUCCGUGCCAGCAGCCGCGGUAAUACGGAGGGUGCAAGCGUUAUCCGGAUUCACUGGGUUUAAAGGGUGCGUAGGUGGGCAGGUAAGUCAGUGGUGAAAUCUCCGGGCUUAACUCGGAAACUGCCGUUGAUACUAUCUGUCUUGAAUAUCGUGGAGGUUAGCGGAAUAUGUCAUGUAGCGGUGAAAUGCUUAGAUAUGACAUAGAACACCGAUUGCGAAGGCAGCUAACUACACGAUCAUUGACACUGAGGCACGAAAGCGUGGGGAGCAAACAGGAUUAGAUACCCUAGUAGUCC